GACGAACGCUGGCGGCGCGCUUAACACAUGCAAGUCGAACGGAAAGGCCUGCUUUCCCUUGUGGAUUGCGGGUACUCGAGUGGCGAACGGGUGAGUAACACGUGAGUGAUCUGCCCCCAACUUGGGUAUAAGCCUGGGAAACUGUGUCUAAUUCCCGAUAGGACUGCAGGGUGGUGCCUGUGGUGGAAAACGAUUUUCUAGUGGUGGGGGAUGAGCUCGCGGCCUAUCAGUUUGUUGGUGGGGUAAUGGCCUACGAGGGCGGCGACGGGUAGCCGGCCUGGGAGGGUGGACGGCCGCAUUGGGACUGAGAUACGGCCCAGCCGCCUGCGGGAGGCAGCAGUGGGGAGUAUUACACGAUGGGCGGAAGCCUGAUGCAGCGACGCCGCGUGGGGGAUGACGGCCUUCGGGUUGUAGACUCCUUUCGACCGCGAGGAAGCCACCUGGUUGGACGGGUGGUGACGGUAGUGGUAGAAGAAGCACCGGCUAACUACGUG
rnacentral:rRNA from 1 species